GAACGUACGCUGGCGGCACGCCUAACACAUGCAAGUCGAACGAAGUAGCAAUACUUAGUGGCAGACGGGUGAGUAACAUGUAGGUAUCUGCCCUUUGGCCUGGAAUAACACGAGGAAACUUGUGCUAAUACCGGAUAAGUCUUUACGGAGAAAGCUUUAUGCACCAUUGGAUGAGCCUGCACUUGAUUAGUUUGUUGGUAGGGUAAUGGCCUACCAAGACUGUGAUCAAUAGCUGAUUUGAGAGGAUGAUCAGCCACAUUGGGACUGAGACACGGCCCAAACUCCUACGGGAGGCAGCAGUGGGGAAUCUUGCACAAUGGAGGAAACUCUGAUGCAGCGAUGCCGCGUGAGUGAAGAAGGCCCUUGGGUUGUAAAGCUCUUUCGUCGGGGAAGAAAAUGACUGUACCCGAAUAAGAAGGUCCGGCUAACUUCGUGCCAGCAGCCGCGGUAAUACGAAGGGACCUAGCGUAGUUCGGAAUUACUGGGCUUAAAGAGUUCGUAGGUGGUUGAAAUAGUUGGUGGUGAAAUCCCAGAGCUUAACUCUGGAACUGCCAUCAAAACUUUUCAGCUAGAGUAUGAUAGAGGAAAGCAGAAUUUCUAGUGUAGAGGUGAAAUUCGUAGAUAUUAGAAAGAAUACCAAAUGCGAAGGCAGCUUUCUGGAUCAUUACUGACACUGAGGAACGAAAGCAUGGGUAGCGAAGAGGAUUAGAUACCCUCGUAGUCCAUGCCGUAAACGAUGUGUGUUAGACGUUGGAAAUUUAUUUUCAGUGUCGCAGGGAAACCGAUAAACACACCGCCUGGGGAGUACGACCGCAAGGUUAAAACUCAAAUGAAUUGACGGGGACCCGCACAAGUAGUGGAGCAUGUGGUUUAAUUCGAAGAUACGCGCAGAACCUUACCAACACUUGACAUGUUCGUCGCGACUCUAAGAGAUUAGAGUCUUCGGUUCGGCCGGACGAAACACAGGUGCUGCAUGGCUGUCGUCAGCUCGUGUCGUGAGAUGUUGGGUUAAGUCCCGCAACGAGCGCAACCCUCACUUUUAGUUGCCAUCAUUAAGUUGGGCACUCUGAAAGAACUGCCAGUGAUAAGCUGGAGGAAGGUGGGGAUGACGUCAAGUCCUCAUGGCCCUUACGUGUUGGGCUACACACGUGCUACAAUGGUAUCUACAACAGGAAGCAAGACUGCGAAGUUAAGCAAAUCCCUAAAAGAUACCUCAGUUCGGAUUGCACUCUGCAACUCGAGUGCAUGAAGCUGGAAUUACUAGUAAUCGUGGAUCAGCGUGCCACGGUGAAUGCGUUCCCGGGUCUUGUACUCACCGCCC
rnacentral:rRNA from 1 species